rnacentral:lncRNA from 1 species
AGCAGUGUCACUUAAUAUUGCGAGAAUACCUAAUAAUUUUUCGUUGUUAAAUGAAUAUUGCUCACCACCACCCUUUAAGCAAAUGGAUAAUACAACAUUUUAUGAAAAAUUAUAUUUUUUAAAAUUAUAAUCAAGGAUUAAAACCACUUGUUGGCCCUAAAUCAGUCAAUUAGAGUAUGUUUGGUAUCGUUUUUAUUUUUUUAUUUUUU